CUUAUUAAAUAUUAAUUAGAUAUAGAGGCACAUAGUUAAUAAUUUCACUAAUUAAAAUCUUUUGGCGGAAGGAUUCGCGCACUCCAGUUUUCUCUCUCAUUUUGGCGGAAGAACUCCCACGUCUUAAAUCUCUUUCAAUUUCACUCAAAACCUACCAAUUGCCCUAUCUCACACUCGACUCUCUACAUUAUCACACUAAUUUUCCAAUCUACGUUAGCAUAAAAAUACAAAAUCUGAAAAUCCUUUGAAUUUUUCACCAUUGUGCCGCCGAUAUCUCCUGGAGCAGCACAUCUCUUGCGCCAACCGACAUCCCGCAGCUGCGCUGUUGUCACUGCUGAGCGGCCGAUUUCUGCCGACGUGCGCUGCCGAUAUCCAACAUCUGCUUUCAGCCACCGUUGCGAUUUGCAGUAUCCCCAAAUUAAAAGCGUCUUCUACGGUGAAGAGCAAUCGCACAAUCGUCACCUAUAGAUCUUCGGGACAAGCCUGCACUUGAGACGCCUUUUGCUUCUCAAAACUGAUAUAUUGUUUCUCAUCCAUACCCAUAGAAAGCUUCUAAAAUUGCUACAGUUCUUUCACAAGAGUGACUAUCCUUCCAUGGCUCGGCUGCUGUUCCUGAUAACGGAUUUGGAAGGAGGCCUAAUCCUUCUGCAAUACUAAGAAAUGAAACUACUGCAUCUAUACCUGGCUGGACAGAGAAACCCUUGUAGAAUACCAAUUUUUCGCAUACAACUCGAAAAAGAGAUGAGAAGGCAGUACCUGCCUUAUUGGCUUAUUUUUUUUUAUAGUCUACUGUUUAAAGCAGUAAAAGAUUUUAAUCAUCUAUUCAGUUCUCCCUGAUUUUGGUCAAGUGUACAGUUUCAUAGGCAGUGUCUUUGACCCAAAUGUGACUGGCCAUUUGCAUAAAUUGAAGAAGAUGGACCCAAUUGAUAUUGAGACAGUACUAUUGUUGAUGAGAAAUCUCUCGAGCAAUUUGGCUAGUAGUGAUUUUGAGGAUCAUAGAAGGCUGCUUUCAUCAUAUGAGACUGACCUCGAGAAGGAUGAUGCUUUUGAUGUAACUGAUUCUAUCCUUUGUAGCCAAUCUGAAGGUGCAGGCUAACUUUGUGUACUAUUGUAGCCAAAAGAAUAUGAUAUGAUUGUAUUUGUACAAUAAGUGUCUUUUUUACACUUAUUUAUAUAAUAAUUUUAGAGCAUACAUUUUUAAUACUACGGAUAAUAGUGUCUC